GACGAACGCUGGCGGCGUGCCUAAUACAUGCAAGUUGAGCGAUGAAGAUCGGUGCUUGCACCAAUUUGAAGAGCAGCGAACGGGUGAGUAACGCGUGGGGAAUCUGCCUUUGAGCGGGGGACAACAUUCGGAAACGAAUGCUAAUACCGCAUAACAACUUUAAACAUAAGUUUUAAGUAUGAAAGAUGCAAUUGCAUCACUCAAAGAUGAUCCCGCGUUGUAUUAGCUAGUUGGUGAGGUAAAGGCUCACCAAGGCGAUGAUACAUAGCCGACCUGAGAGGGUGAUCGGCCACAUUGGGACUGAGACACGGCCCAAACCCCUACGGGAGGCAGCCGUAGGGAAUCUUCGGCAAUGGACGGAAGUCUGACCGAGCAACGCCGCGUGAGUGAAGGAGGUUUUCGGAUCGUAAAACUCUGUUGGUAGGGAAGAACGUUGGUGAGAGUGGAAAGCUCAUCAAGUGACGGUAACUACCCAGAAAGGGACGGCUAACUACGUG
rnacentral:rRNA from 1 species